GUGGAACCUAGCAGAAGAAUGGAGGCAGAUCACUUCUGCUUCAGUAUUCCAUCAACUCCCUGAAAGAAAACCUCCCAGAAAAGUUGCAGGGUGUGUUACAAGAGGGGCUUAAGAGCUGAAACCAGUUAUUACGGCCCUGAUUGCCCCUCUCAGCCCUGCCUAUGUAUUUGCCAUGGUUUUAAAAUUUUCCACACCCAGGCCGAAUAAUAUGACCGGUUUGGGGGUUUGAUUUUAAUCAUUUGUUUGGUAACCAAAUUUUGGCUUUGUCUCCUGUUU